AGGAGGACACUGACAAAGACGGGAUGAGUUUGGAGGUCGACACUCCAGUGACGAACCAUCGGGGUGACGACGACGAUGACGAAGAAGAUCUCCCCGAGAUAGUGCUGGAUGACGUGCCUGCGGUGAGGGUGGCGGACGGCCUCCAUUCGCUCCGCGGGUGGCCUUCAUGGUGAACAAAACACAUGACCCCGAGUACCCGAGGCGGAAGGUGUCCGGCAUCAGUGCUCAGAAAGUUGUUCCAC